rnacentral:lncRNA from 1 species
UGGCCUCAAGUUUCAUAAAUUGCAUUUAUUAUCAUGUCUUUGAGUCUUCUAAGCAGAUCUAUUGGAUCCUUCUGCCACCGAGCGUCACCUCGUCAUGCAGGCAGGCACACACGACCACCAGGCCUGGGGAUGAUGCCCCUCAACAUAGCUCACUGCACCCCGUCUGAUCUGGCUUCCCCAACCUCCCCAGCCCUUCGAAACCACGUGGGGCUGGCUCCCACCCACAUCCUGUUCCCCCGACCUCUGUGCUGGCAAACCACCUGUGUGCAUGUUCCUCCAGGCCCAGCCUCAUGUCCCCUCCAGGAAGUCUACCCCAGUUCCCAGGGAAGAGUGCGUUCCCAUCUCUGGAAUCCCUCAGCCCUGAGCCUGCCCCUUCACAUCCCCCGCUGCUGGGUCUGUUUAGGGACUCCUCUGUCCCCCGUCCUCUCAGCAGGCAGGGAACUUCUGAGGGACAGGUCUUCGUUUGCUUUUUCUGUUUUCUCACCAAUUACAUAGGGCUGAGACCCAGGACUCAGGCUUGGGCUGGGGGUUUAUAGAGUCAAUUGACAAGUUGGACAGAGGCCUGGCAGGGCCAGCCCCACCUGGGGGUGGGCAAAGCAGGUCACCAGAGCCUUCUUUCCUGCCCACAGGACAGCCACUCACUGGUGGGAGCAACCGGGUGUGGAGGCCCGCACCCUGCUCAAGCUCUAUGGAAUCCGCUUUGACAUCCUCGUCACCGGGCAGGUAGGCACAGGUAGGGGUCAGGCCGGGGAUGGGAUGGGGCAGGCAGACAGGGCUGGAGGAGGCAUGAGGCUGACAGUCGUGGGCUGAGAGGUUCAGCUCAGAUCUCUCUCAGGCAGGGAAGUUCGGGCUCAUCCCCACGGCCGUCACACUGGGCACCGGGGCAGCUUGGCUGGGCGUGGUCACCUUUUUCUGUGACCUGCUACUGCUGUAUGUGGAUAGAGAAGCCCAUUUCUACUGGAGGACAAAGUAUGAGGAGGCCAAGGCCCCGAAAGCAACCACCAACUCUGUGUGGAGGGAGCUGGCCCUUGCAUCCCAAGCCCGACUGGCCGAGUGCCUCAGACAGAGCUCAGCACCUGCACCCAUGGCCACUGCUGCUGGGAGUCAGACACAGACACCAGGAUGGCCCUGUCCAAGUUCUGACACCCACUUGCCAACCCAUUCCGGAAGCCUGUAGCCGUUCCCUGCUGGUUGAGAGUUGGGGGCUGGGAAGGGCGGGGCCCUGCCUGGGGAUCUCAAGGAUGAGGCCCCAGCAUGGAGGAUUGGGGGUAGAAUUCCACCCUUGAACCCCAGCAGACAGUCCCUCCCCUGACUCCCACCUUGGUAGGGUGCUGCCUCAGGGAGCCAUAGAAGUCGGCUGUGUUUUGAGACGGCGACAGAACCUGACCCGUGGAGACUGGGAGAGCCCAGCAGGCACCUGUAUUGCAGGGCUCCGACUGCAUGUGGCAGGGGCUCCUGCUGCGUCUGGGCCUGGAGGUCUCUCUCCCAGUGCUCUGUCCCCAGUGUUCCUAGCAGAGGUAUGCUUACCAGCUGUCAGCACAGACCCUCCUGCUGCCUGGGUCCUGGCCCUCCUCCCCCAUCUGCACCCCCAUCAUAGGUAGAGACCCCACCCUCCCAUCGGUCCUACAUGGGGCUGUGCAGCUGGAGCCAAAAAGGCAAGGUAGAAAGAGAAGUGAUGGGGGAGGGGGAUUGUUUCAGCUUCUCUGGUGCUGUGAUGCCCCAGGAGAGUCCUAAUCUAGGGAAUGGGGUGGAGUAGGCAGAUAAUCCACCUCCCUAUCCCCCAGGCAAGGGCGGAGCAUGUGUCUUGGGCCCACACCUGCUCAGUUUAUGAGGACCGGCUGCUUUCCAGUGGUAGCCCUUUUGCCAUGGAGGUCUGGGAGAGAGCAGAGGGCGGCAGGGCUAAGUUGGUGAUCAUUGGGUUCUUCAGGACCUUCUAUAUCCCUCCUCGGUGACCCCCCAGCCCAACCCCUUGGAAUCUUUCCUCCAGGCUUCCUGAGAGCCCUGGGGGUGGGAGGCUGUGGGAGGCUGUACAUCUGAAAUUCACUUCAGUCCAAGUCAUACCUAGGAAGCUGUCUGGGCAGCUGCUCAAGGGAGGCCCUGGCUCUGAUCCCAGGCUGGAUGGAGUGGCUGGAAGGAAUGGUUCCAAACAACACCACCGAGAUCUCCCUCAGGCUGGCCAGGUUUUGCAGCUGGAAUUCUCCUCUUGGUCCCAGGGUGGGGCAGGGAAUUCUAAGUGUCCACCCCAGGGAGGCAAGGGGCUGCUUUCCACUGUGGGUACCUGGUGAUCAGGGCAAGCUGUGGAGGGCCAGGGGUGGGGCUGAGACUGGGCUGACAUCUAGAAUCACCUGCCACCUGGAGCCUCAGUAAAAUGCCUGGGGUCCCUGCUGCCUCUCAAUCUCCAGAGCCAUGUCCAUGGGGAGGUGGGCUCUGAAGGGCAAAGGUGGGAGAGCAUGGCCCCUGAGGCCUGGGUAUCCAAGGAGGGGCACGUGCACCUGAUUCUCCUUGGGGCCCAGAGGAAGCUGAUGUCAUGGCUGGACAAAGUCACGGAGUAAAGCCAGCAAAGCCACCCUCUUCCUGUGUAGUCCUUACAGGCAUGACUGGAAAGUUGGGGGGCAUCUAUGGUAGACAUGGCACAGCCAUGAAGAGACCAGUGGGGUGGUGCAGGGUGGACUUGGGGACCCUACCCCUGAAGACUGAGGCCCUGCAGCUACCAGGUGGGCUAGAAGGUAACUGGAACAGGCCUGGGCACUUGUGCACCCAUGUAGGAGCAUGAGGGCCACACUCUUUUCACCUCAAAGCCCUUGAAGAGUGGGCAAAGACAGCAAGAGAGCUGCAGCCUGGGCCCGAGCUCAGAAACAGCUGUCGCCUCAGUCUGCGCACAGGCAUGCACCCCAGGGUAGUGCCUGCAGGGAUGCAUGUGUCCCCGUGGGGGUGCCUG